CAAGAUUGGCUUCAGGUUGGACCCCCUUGGUUUAUGAAGGGAAGAUCUGAGUCAGCAAAGCGACAGGAGUCAAGGGAGCUGGAACCUCGGGGAAUAGGGACAUCUGGUCCACCUCAUUUUCGACCAGCGAAGGGGGCGUGGUCGCAAAAAUGUUGUGGUCUGGUUGCCCUGCUAAAGAUGAACUAACAGGGCCGGCCAUUUGGUACUAGUGUGCUCUUGCCUGAGGAAGUCUCUUCCAGUCUCAGCAGUCCUUGGUUAUCUGGAGUUCUUUGUCAUGAAGACGUUCCAUUCAUUCACCACCACCACACGGUCCAUGUUCACAUGCCUGUUGGUGUCAUCCUUUCCUUUUGCUUUUUGAAACAGUCUCACGACAUAGAUCUGUCUGGCCUGGACUUCACAGUGUAGAUCACCAGGCCUCUAAUUCACAGUAUCUGCCUGACUUUCAAGUGAUGGCAUUAAAGACACGUGCCCAACCUCCCAGGCUUUGAGGGCUAGAGAAGUUACGAUUAGAAACUUGUGCAAGGGUUAACAUGUAUGCCACACAGAUGCCAUUCUAGAGACCCUCAGCCCACUGUCAUGGCAUGAGGUACAGCGAUAGCCCUCCUGGGAGUCCCUCUGCCUAGGAAGACAGAGUAUUUGUAGGCUGCCAGAUCCCUACACCACUGUUUUAACCUCCCCUGACCCCGUCUCUCACAAUGAUUAGGGAAGCUUUUCUUCCAUUCCCCUGAGUCUGGUGACCAGUAAGAGGACGGGGCUCCAGACAUGAGAAGACACUCACCAGUCUGCAAUCACCCAUCUCCUGCAUAAAAUGUCUCCCUAACAGCUUUCCCAAGGAUGUUUCUGUAGACCAGGCUGGCCUCGACCUCAUAGAUCUGCCUGCCUCUGCAUCCCAAGUGCUGGGAUUAAAGGUGUGCACCACCACUGCCCGGCCUAAGGCUUCUCCUUAGAGCAACAAUCCGUUCCUCUUGUCAUCAGCUGAGUUUCCCGCUGCCUCGCUUGCUUCCCUGCUGACUACCUUCCUGCCUGUGGUAAGCCUCCUGACAUUUGAGGUGGCCAGACUUUGACCCUGGAAAUAUUGAUUUGCAAGUGAAAAAGUGAGUGUUUUCGUUGACAACACAUUUGUGUCUUGUGGAGAAAUAGGAGGCUGAUAAAUUUCAAGUACAAAGAUCCAUUCCCCAGAUGUUGGUACAAACUGAAACGUUAUUGAUCAACUGGACUUUUUUCUUCUUCUUCUUCUGGUUUCUCUGUGUAACCCUGCCUGUCCUGGAACUCACCCUGUAGACCAGGCUGACCUUGAACUCAGAGGUCUGUCUGACUCUGCCUCCCAAGUACUGGGACUAAAGUCAUAUGCCACCACCACCCAGCUCGACUGGACUCUUAACUAGUAACAUAUGCUUUGAUUUGAUUGUUUUCUUUGAGAUUGAGGAAGAAAAUAUAUAAGAUAGCUUUGCUCAGUGGAAGGAUUAUGUCAUAAUUACAAAGGUGAAUUUUAUCAGGCAAUCAAAUUGGUAUCUUAUUUGUUUAAGAGUAUCUUACGAUGAUUUUCCAACUUAUAAACAGGUAUUAGUAAGCCUACGACUGGAUCAAGCAGAAGAUACGCCACUGGAAUUGUCCUGUGCUAAUAAAGUCUAUUACUGUAGCUUAGAACUCAUAUUUAUCGAGCAUCUAUUCCAAAUAAACAUUCAGGAAAGAAGCAUGAACAUGCCUUAAUCUCAGAGUCCCCUAAGACUAAAACAGGAGAAAUGAGGCACAUAAAGA